AGCGAACGCUGGCGGCAGGCCUAACACAUGCAAGUCGAACGAACCUUUCGGGGUUGGUGGCGGAGGGGUGAGUAACACGUGGGAACGUGCCUUUAGGUACGGAAUAACUCAGGGAAACUUGUGCUAAUACCGAAAGUGUCCUUCGGGGGAAAGAUUUAUCGUCUUUAGAUCGGCCGGCGUCUGAUUAGCUAGUUGGUUGAGGUAAUGGCUCACCAAGGCGACGAUCAGUAGCUGGUCUGAGAGGAUGAUCGGCCACAUUGGGACUGAGACACGGCCCAAACUCCUACGGGAGGCAGCAGUGGGGAAUCUUGCGCAAUGGGCGAAAGCCUGUCGCAGCCAGGCCGCGGGAAUGAUGAAGGUCUUAGGAUGGUAAGAUUCUUUCUCCGGGGACGAUAAUGACGGUACCCGGAGAAGAAGCCCCGGCUAACUUCGUG
rnacentral:rRNA from 1 species